GGAGUUGUGGCUCAGAGGUAGAGCGCUCAUCUACCAUGUGUGAAGCCCUGGGUUUGAUCCUCAGCACCA
rnacentral:tRNA from 1 species